rnacentral:rRNA from 1 species
AGAGUUUGAUCCUGGCUCAGGAUGAACGCUAGCGGGAGGCCUAACACAUGCAAGCCGAGCGGUAGAGAUUCUUCGGAAUCUUGAGAGCGGCGUACGGGUGCGGAACACGUGUGCAACCUGCCUUUAUCUGGGGGAUAGCCUUUCGAAAGGAAGAUUAAUACCCCAUAAUAUAUCGAAUGGCAUCAUUUGAUAUUGAAAACUCCGGUGGAUAGAGAUGGGCACGCGCAAGAUUAGAUAGUUGGUGAGGUAACGGCUCACCAAGUCUACGAUCUUUAGGGGGCCUGAGAGGGUGAUCCCCCACACUGGUACUGAGACACGGACCAGACUCCUACGGGAGGCAGCAGUGAGGAAUAUUGGACAAUGGGUGAGAGCCUGAUCCAGCCAUCCCGCGUGAAGGACGACGGCCCUAUGGGUUGUAAACUUCUUUUGUAUAGGGAUAAACCUAGAUACGUGUAUCUAGCUGAAGGUACUAUACGAAUAAGCACCGGCUAACUCCGUGCCAGCAGCCGCGGUAAUACGGAGGGUGCAAGCGUUAUCCGGAUUUAUUGGGUUUAAAGGGUCCGUAGGCGGAUCUGUAAGUCAGUGGUGAAAUCUCACAGCUUAACUGUGAAACUGCCAUUGAUACUGCAGGUCUUGAGUGUUGUUGAAGUAGCUGGAAUAAGUAGUGUAGCGGUGAAAUGCAUAGAUAUUACUUAGAACACCAAUUGCGAAGGCAGGUUACUAAGCAACAACUGACGCUGAUGGACGAAAGCGUGGGGAGCGAACAGGAUUAGAUACCCUGGUAGUCCACGCCGUAAACGAUGCUAACUCGUUUUUGGAUUUUCGGAUUCAGAGACUAAGCGAAAGUGAUAAGUUAGCCACCUGGGGAGUACGAACGCAAGUUUGAAACUCAAAGGAAUUGACGGGGGCCCGCACAAGCGGUGGAUUAUGUGGUUUAAUUCGAUGAUACGCGAGGAACCUUACCAAGGCUUAAAUGGGAAAUGACAGGUUUAGAAAUAGACUUUUCUUCGGACAUUUUUCAAGGUGCUGCAUGGUUGUCGUCAGCUCGUGCCGUGAGGUGUUAGGUUAAGUCCUGCAACGAGCGCAACCCCUGUCACUAGUUGCCAUCAUUAAGUUGGGGACUCUAGUGAGACUGCCUACGCAAGUAGAGAGGAAGGUGGGGAUGACGUCAAAUCAUCACGGCCCUUACGCCUUGGGCCACACACGUAAUACAAUGGCCGGUACAGAGGGCAGCUACACAGUGAUGUGAUGCAAAUCUCGAAAGCCGGUCUCAGUUCGGAUUGGAGUCUGCAACUCGACUCUAUGAAGCUGGAAUCGCUAGUAAUCGCGCAUCAGCCAUGGCGCGGUGAAUACGUUCCCGGGCCUUGUACACACCGCCCGUCAAGCCAUGGAAGUCUGGGGUACCUGAAGUCGGUGACCGUAACAGGAGCUGCCUAGGGUAAAACAGGUAACUAGGGCUAAGUCGUAACAAGGUAGCCGUACCGGAAGGUGCGGCUGGAACAUCU